GUUUCUUGGAACAGGACGUCACAGAGGGUGAGAAUCCCGUGAGGUGGUGCAUGCUUCUCUUGUAGGUUGUUCUCGACGAGUCGAGUUGUUUGGGAAUGCAGCUCUAAGUGGGUGGUAAAUUCCAUCUAAAGCUAAAUAUUGGCGAGAGACCGAUAGCGAACAAGUACAGUGAUGGAAAGAUGAAAAGAACUUUGAAAAGAGAGUGAAAAAGUACGUGAAAUUGUUGAAAGGGAAGGGCAUUAGAUUAGACUUGGCGCUUCAGGCACAUCCUCCUCUUGUAGGGGGUGCACUCCUGUUGUGCUGGGCCAGCAUCGAUUUGUGCGGUGGGAUAAAACCAGUGGGAUGUAGCUGCUCUGCAGUAUUAUAACCACUGGGCAUGCCACCAGCGUAGAUCGAGGACUGC
rnacentral:rRNA from 1 species